GACGAACCGUCCAAACGUUAUUCGGAAUCACUGGGCUUAAAGGGUGCGUAGGCGGCGCGGUAAGUUGGGUGUGAAAUCCCUCGGCUCAACCGAGGAACUGCGCCCAGAACUACCGUGCUCGAGGGAGAUAGAGGUAAGCGGAACUUAGGGUGGAGCGGUGAAAUGCGUUGAUAUCCUAAGGAACACCGGUGGCGAAAGCGGCUUACUGGAUCUCUUCUGACGCUGAGGCACGAAAGCUAGGGUAGCGAACGGG
rnacentral:rRNA from 1 species